rnacentral:rRNA from 1 species
UUUGUUUGCGCAGGAUAGGUGGGAGGCGUUGAAGAUUUUCUUGCGGGGAGAUUGGAGCCGUUGGUGAGAUACCACUCUAACAAUGCUAGGAUUCUAACCCUAUACCGUUAUCCGGUUAGGGGACAGUUUCAGGUGGUCAGUUUGACUGGGGCGGUCGCCUCCCAAAAGGUAACGGAGGCGUGCAAAGGUUUCCUCAGGCUGGUCGGAAAUCAGUCGUAGAGUGUAAAGGCAUAAGGAAGCUUGAUUGUGAGACCUACAAGUCGAACAAAGACGAAAGUCGGCCUUAGUGAUCCGACGGUUCCGAGUGGAAGGGCCAUCGCUCAACGGAUAAAAGUUACUCUAGGGAUAACAGGCUGAA